UUCCGGUUGAUCCUGCCAGAGGCUACUGCUAUCGGGGUCCGACUAAGCCAUGCGAGUUGAGAGGGGUAAGCCCUCGGCAUAUUGCUCAGUAACACGCGGAUAACCUGCCCUUGGGUUUGGGAUAACCCCGGGAAACUGGGACUAAUACCGGAUAGAUCAAAGAAACUGGAAUGUUCUCUGAUCGAAAGCUCCGGCGCCCAAGGAUGGGUCUGCGGCCUAUCAGGUAGUAGUGGGUGUAACGUACCUACUAGCCUACGACGGGUAAGGGUUGUGAGAGCAAGAGCCCUGAGAUGGAUUCUGAGACAUGAAUCCAGGCCCUACGGGGUGCAGCAGGCGCGAAAACUUUACACUGCGGGAAACCGCGAUAAGGGGACCCCGAGUGCCAGCACCUAGUGCUGGCUGUCCAGCUGUUCAAAUAACAGUUGUUAGCAAGGGCCGGGCAAGACCGGUGCCAGCCGCCGCGGUAACACCGGCGGCCCGAGUGGUAGCCGUUAUUAUUGGGUUUAAAGGGUCCGUAGCCGGCCUAUUAAGUCUCUUGGGAAAUCUGGCGACUCAAUCGUCAGGCGUUCAAGAGAUACUGGUAGGCUUGGGACCGGGAGAGGUGGGAGGUACUCCAGGGGUAGGGGUGAAAUCUCGUAAUCCUUGGGGGACCACCGAUGGCGAAGGCAUCCCACCAGAACGGGUCCGACGGUGAGGGACGAAAGCUGGGGGCACGAACCGGAUUAGAUACCCGGGUAGUCCCAGCCGUAAACGAUGCUCGCUAGGUGUCAGGUGCGGUGCGACCGCAUCUGGUGCCGCAGUGAAAACUUGAAGCGAGUCACCUGGGAAGUACGGUCGCAAGGCUGAAACUUAAAGGAAUUGGCGGGGGAGCACUACAACGGGUGGAGCCUGCGGUUCAAUUGGAGUCAACGCCGGA
rnacentral:rRNA from 3 species